UGGGGAAUAUUGGACAAUGGGGGGAACCCUGAUCCAGCCAUGCCGCGUGUGUGAAGAAGGCCUUAUGGUUGUAAAGCACUUUAAGCGAGGAGGAUGGUACUGGUAUUAAUACUACCAGCUACUGGACGUUACUCGCAGAAUAAGCACCGGCUAACUCUGUGCCAGCAGCCGCGGUAAUACAGAGGGUGCGAGCGUUAAUCGGAUUUACUUGGCGUAAAGCGUGCGUAGGCGGCUAAUUGAGUCGGAUGUGAAAUCCCCGAGCUUAACUUGGGAAUUGCAUUCGAUACUGGUUAGCUAGAGUGUGGGAGAGGAUGGUAGAAUUCCAGGUGUAGCGGUGAAAUGCGUAGAGAUCUGGAGGAAUACCGAUGGCGAAGGCAGCCAUCUGGCCUAACACUGACGCUGAGGUACGAAAGCAUGGGGAGCAAACAGG
rnacentral:rRNA from 1 species